rnacentral:rRNA from 1 species
UACGGAGGGUGCGAGCGUUGUCCGGAAUCACUGGGCGUAAAGGGCGCGUAGGCGGCCUGAUAAGUAGGGGGUGAAAUCUUGCGGCUUAACCGCAAGGCUGCCUUCUAAACUGUCAGGCUAGAGCACAGUAGAGGCAGGUGGAAUUCCCGGUGUAGCGGUGGAAUGCGUAGAGAUCGGGAAGAACAUCAGCGGCGAAGGCGGCCUGCUGGGCUGUUGCUGACGCUGAGGCGCGACAGCGUGGGGAGCAAACAGG